GCCUUUGUAGUUCAGUUGGUUAGAGCACUGCACCGGAAUCGCAGGGCCGUAGGUUCAAUUCCUACCAGAGGAC